UCCAUCCGCUCCUCAUCCUCUCCCUCUCUCGAGACUCCGACAAGCCGCCUCCAUCUCCGCAGCCGAUCGUGACGCCGACGACUAUCAUCACCAUUGUUGCCAUUUCGAGGAUUUCAGUGAUCUUGGAGCGUGGUGAUUUCUCUCGGUGACAAGGGAUUCAUGGCUUUUUAUCUCUUUUGCAAAAGGCUUUCCAUGUGAAGAGCCGGCCUACAAUUGGUCAGUUUGGGUGUUUGAGUUUGCAGCGUGCUUGGUGGAAGAGGGGGCUCUUUGUAAUUUGCUGACAGAGCAGUAGUUACAGAGGUGCCCUCUCUUGAAGUGAGUCAAAGAGUUCUCGGAUUGAAACUUUCAGGUUCAGGCAUCUUCAUCUACUGACAUGACUUCAGUACAAACGAUGUUACCUACAUUAAAUGAGGGAAGUGCCAUUAAUCAAAUAGAUCAUUCUACACGACAAAACUGAA